CCACAUCCAAGGAAGGCAGCAGGCACGCAAAUUACCCAAUCCCGACACGGGGAGGUAGUGACAAUAAAUAACAAUACAGGACCUUUUAUGGUCUUGUGAUUGGAAUGAGUACAAUUUAAAUACCUUAACGAGGAACAAUUGGAGGGCAAGUCUGGUGCCAGCAGCCGCGGUAAUUCCAGCUCCAAUAGCGUAUAUUAAAGUUGUUGCAGUUAAAAAGCUCGUAGUUGAACCUUGGGCUUGGUCAGCCGGUCCGCCUUAACGGUGUGCACUGAACUGAUCGAGCCUUUUUUCCUGGGUAACUAUGGUGCUCUUUAUUGAGUGCUAUAGGGAACCAGGACUUUUACUUUGAAAAAAUUAGAGUGUUCAAAGCAGGCAUACGCUCGAAUAUAUUAGCAUGGAAUAAUAGAAUAGGACGUACGGUUCUAUUUUGUUGGUUCUCUAGGACCGUCGUAAUGAUUAAUAGGGACAGUCGGGGGCAUCAGUAUUCAAUUGUCAGAGGUGAAAUUCUUGGAUUUAUUGAAGACCAACUACUGCGAAAGCAUUUGCCAAGGAUGUUUUCAUUAAUCAAGAACGAAAGUUAGGGGAUCGAAGACGAUCAGAUACCGUCGUAGUCUUAACCAUAAACUAUGCCGACUAGGGAUCGGGCGGUGUUUUUUUUUUGACCCGCUCGGCACCUUACGAGAAAUC
rnacentral:rRNA from 1 species